rnacentral:lncRNA from 1 species
UAUAUGUUCGUGGGUGAGACAGGUCGUUGGUGGUAGUUAAAGUAGGUCACCCUAACCAUUCCAGUCACUUGUAAACAGUUUCUGGUAACCCUCAAUGCAAAGUACCGCCUAGAGAACUGUCGACAUUUGAAGGAAAUGAAGUUUACACACCUAGUCCAGGGUGAGAUGACAGUGUCCGAGUACACCUAAAAGUUCCUAGAGUUGGGUCGGUAUUCUCUUAAGAGUAUAAUGAAUGAAGAGAGAAAG